CGGGUGAGUAAUAUAGUCGGAACGUGCCAGUCGUGGGGAUAACGUAGCGAAAGUUACGCUAAUACCGCAUACGAUCUAAGGAUGAAAGCGGGGGACUCGCAAGAGCCUCGCGCGAUUGGAGCGGCCGAUAUCAGAUUAGGUAGUUGGUGGGGUAAAGGCUCACCAAGCCAACGAUCUGUAGCUGGUCUGAGAGGACGACCAGCCACACUGGGACUGAGACACGGCCCAGACUCCUACGGGAGGCAGCAGUGGGGAAUUUUUGGACAAUGGGCGCAAGCCUGAUCCAGCAAUGCCGCGUGCAGGAUGAAGGCCUUCGGGUUGUAAACUGCUUUUGUACGGAACGAAACGGUGAGCUCUAAUACAGUUUGCUAAUGACGGUACCGUAAGAAUAAGCACCGGCUAACUACGUG
rnacentral:rRNA from 1 species